rnacentral:rRNA from 1 species
GACGAACGCUGGCGGCGUGCCUAACACAUGCAAGUCGAACGGGGUCUGAGAGAGAAGCUUGCUUCUUUUUCAGAGCUAGUGGCGGACGGGUGAGUAACACGUAGAUAACCUGCCUGUAAGACUGGGAUAACACCGGGAAACCGGUGCUAAUACCGGAUAAACUGUCGAGGGGGCAUCCCUUAGAUAGCAAAGGAGCGAUCUGCUUACAGAUGGGUCUGCGUCCCAUUAGCUAGCUGGUAGGGUAACGGCCUACCAGGGCGACGAUGGGUAGCCGGCCUGAGAGGGUGGUCGGCCACACUGGGACUGAGACACGGCCCAGACUCCUACGGGAGGCAGCAGUGGGGGAUAUUGCGCAAUGGGCGGAAGCCUGACGCAGCGACGCCGCGUGAGUGAUGAAGGCCUUCGGGUCGUAAAACUCUGUUGUGAGUGAAGAAGGAAGUGACAGUAGCUCACGAGAAAGCCCCGGCUAACUACGUGCCAGCAGCCGCGGUAAAACGUA